rnacentral:rRNA from 1 species
CAGCCAUGUAGCGUGCAGGAAGACAGGCCCUAUGGGUUGUAAACUGCUUUUAUGCGGGGAUAAAGGAGUCCACGUGUGGAUUUUUGCAGGUACCGCAUGAAUAAGGACCGGCUAAUUCCGUGCCAGCAGCCGCGGUAAU